rnacentral:rRNA from 1 species
GUGAGGAAUAUUGCGCAAUGGACGAAAGUCUGACGCAGCCAUGCCGCGUGAAGGAUUGACGGCCCUAUGGGUUGUAAACUUCUUUUGUAUAGGAAUAAACCCUCGUUCGUGAACGAGGCUGAAGGUACUAUAAGAAUAAGCACCGGCUAACUCCGUGCCAGCAGCCGCGGUAAUACGGUGGGUGCAAGCGUUAUCCGGAUUUAUUGGGUUUAAAGGGUCCGUAGGCGGAUCGUUAAGUCAGUGGUGAAAUCCUACCGCUCAACGGUAGAACUGCCAUUGAUACUGGCGAUCUUGAGUAUGUAUGAAGUUGGCGGAAUGUGUGGUGUAGCGGUGAAAUGCUUAGAUAUCACACAGAACACCGAUUGCGAAGGCAGCUGACUAAUACACAACUGACGCUGAGGGACGAAAGUGUGGGGAUCAAACAGGAUUAGAUACCCUUGUAGUCC